CAAACGACUCUCAGCAACGGAUAUCUUGGCUCUUGCAACGAU
rnacentral:rRNA from 1 species